GAAGAAGUUUGUCAGAAAAGCAAGCAGAGGAGAAGAGGACGCUAGUAGUGACCUCAGCACAGAAAGAAGAAGCUUGACCACGUUGGCACAUCGUUUUACUGUUUGAAAGUUUGACAGUUAUCAAAGUUUGUUGAAUUGGGAAAAUCUGAAGCUGUAUAGUUGAUUCAAGUUCUGGAUGAAAAAUGUCCCCUGGUUUAUACAUGGAAAAUCACCGGUAAAUACUGUUUAUUUUUCUGAUCCCCGCCAUGCUACCAUACUUCUUUUGACUUGGACUUUCAGAGGCAGACACGUCAUCUUCAAAAACAAAUCCUUAUUGGAAAAUACAUGUACAUUUUAUACGUUACUGCAACAAAGUUGGUUAAUAAUAAAAUAAAAAUGUUUAU